rnacentral:lncRNA from 1 species
GCUAUGUCGAUUAACAAAAUUUAAUUUCGAUGGUUACGAAUGACCACAUGAUGAUCUGAUAGAUAGAGAUAAUCUAUGGAUCUAAAAAUUUAUAAUGAUAAUUUUAGUGAUAUUUAUAGUAUACUAUCAAAAUUUUACUUCAAUCAAAUGUCAUUAUCAUUGUCAAUUUAGCAUGGAAUAAUUUAGACCGUUAAAUAAAAA